ACGAAAGUCGAGUUUCCGCCUAAAACUUGUCCAAACUAGGAUCCAACCAUGGCUGCAGCCUGGGUUUGUGUGUUUUUAGCCCUGCUUUACACGACUAUAGCCGAAGAUAUCAAAUUAAAACAUAAACCAGCGACUAAACCUGUCCGACUGUUCACAGAGGAGGAGCUGCAGAGAUACGACGGCACAGAGGAUGGGCUGCCUAUUUACAUGGCCAUUAAGGGAGUUGUGUUUGAUGUCACCAAAGGAAAAGAGUUUUACGGAAAAGAUGCACCGUAUAAUGCACUGGUUGGGAAAGACUCAACCCGAGCAGUGGCCAAGAUGUCCCUCAACCCAGAAGACUUGACAUCAGAUACUACAGGUCUCAGUGAAGAGGAGCUGGAGUCUCUGGACAGUGUGUUUGAAGGCACGUACAAAACCAAGUAUCCCAUUGUGGGUUACACCGCAUCACGUAUCCUCAACCAAGAUGGGACUCCCAACGAGAACUUUAAACCUGAAGACCAGCCUCAGUUUCACAUCAAAGAUGAGUUUUGACAUUAUUUCACCUUUUAGGCAAAGGAAGUCACUGGAUCUAAGGUUAUAAUCACAGGUUUUUUUAAAUAUUUUUACAUGUUUUCUUUACUUGAAAGGAGCCACAAUCCAAAAAAAGUGCAAUAAUGAACAUUUGUCCCAAAGGUUUACCAUUAAUUGUAAACGUCCUCACCACUGCUUUAUAUUUCAUCUGUAUUAUGGACUGUAGAAGACAUAACCACUACAGACUGUUUAAAUUAGUGACUGAUUAUUUUAGUUUACAUAUAAGAGUAAUAUAAAUUCACUGGUGUAGACUGUUUGAACUGCUGUUUUAUGUGUUAAAUCAUUAGAUGUUAUUAUUUCUUGUACUAUGAAGUCAUUAGGAGUAGAGCAUUUUGUUCUGAAUUAGAAAAUGUAACCAAAAUAAGAUCACCUCUGACUGGAUGGAGAGCAUCACUGAUACUGGAUGUUUGUAUUAAUUAGUCAUUCCAAUGUCAGAUAACAGAAAACGUG